rnacentral:rRNA from 1 species
AUUGAACGCUGGCGGCAGGCCUAACACAUGCCAGUCGAGCGGAUGAAGGGAGCUUGCUCCUGGAUUCAGCGGCGGACGGGUGAGUAAUGCCUAGGAAUCUGCCUGGUAGUGGGGGAUAACGUCCGGAAACGGGCGCUAAUACCGCAUACGUCCUGAGGGAGAAAGUGGGGGAUCUUCGGACCUCACGCUAUCAGAUGAGCCUAGGUCGGAUUAGCUAGUUGGUGGGGUAAAGGCCUACCAAGGCGACGAUCCGUAACUGGUCUGAGAGGAUGAUCAGUCACACUGGAACUGAGACACGGUCCAGACUCCUACGGGAGGCAGCAGUGGGGAAUAUUGGACAAUGGGCGAAAGCCUGAUCCAGCCAUGCCGCGUGUGUGAAGAAGGUCUUCGGAUUGUAAAGCACUUUAAGUUGGGAGGAAGGGCGGUAAGUUAAUACCUUGCUGUUUUGACGUUACCAACAGAAUAAGCACCGGCUAACUUCGUG